GGAUGCGAUCAUACCAGCACUAAAGCACCGGAUCCCAUAAGAAGUCCGAAGUUAAGCGUGCUUGGGCGAGAGUAGUACUAGGAUGGGUGACCUCCUAGGAAGUCCUCGUGUUGCAUUCC
rnacentral:rRNA from 16 species